UUGUGCCAGCAGCCGCGGUAAUUCCAGCUCCAAUAGCGUAUAUUAAAGUUGUUGUGGUUAAAAAGCUCGUAGUUGAACCUUGGGCCUGGCUGGCCGGUCCGCCUCACCGCGUGCACUGGUCCGGCCGGGCCUUUCCCUCUGUGGAACCCCAUACCCUUCACUGGGCGUGGCGGGGAAACAGGACAUUUACUUUGAAAAAAUUAGAGUGCUCCAGGCAGGCCUAUGCUCGAAUACAUUAGCAUGGAAUAAUAAAAUAGGACGCGCGGUUCUAUUUUGUUGGUUUAUAGGACCGCCGUAAUGAUUAAUAGGGACAGUCGGGGGCAUCAGUAUUCAACUGUCAGAGGUGAAAUUCUUGGAUCAGUUGAAGACUAACUACUGCGAAAGCAUUUUGCCAAGGAUGUUUUCAUUAAUCAGGAACGAAAGUUAGGGGAUCGAAGACGAUCAGAUACCGUCGUAGUCUUAACCAUAAACUAUGCCGACUAGGGAUCGGACGGUGUUAUUCAUGACCCGUUCGGCACCUUACGAGAAAUCAAAGUGCUUGGGCUCCAGGGGGAGUAUGGUCGCAAGGCUGAAACUUAAAGAAAUUGACGGAAGGGCACCACCAGGGGUGAGCCUGCGGCUUAAUUUGACUCAACACGGGGAAACUCACCAGGUCCAGACACAAUAAGGAUUGACAGAUUGAGAGCUCUUUCUUGAUUUUGUGGGUGGUGUGCAUGGCCGUUCUUAGUGGUGGGGUGACUUGUCUGCUUAAUUGCGAUAACGAACGAGACUACUGCUAAUAGCUGCAUGCUCGCAGUGCGCUGCUCUAGAGGACUUCGCUCAGCGAGAGGUGAGCAUAACAGUCUUGGAUGCCUUAGAUGUCUGGGCGCACGCGCUA
rnacentral:rRNA from 1 species